ensembl:lncRNA
UGAAAGAUGUGUUUUGAAAAUGCCACGUGACUACCGUCCCCCUCCCUCCCGGAUCAGUCCGCAUGUUCAUGGCGCCAGCAUUUGUUAUGGAAUAUAUUGAGCAAACCUGGAGAUAUUAUUGUUGUCAUUGCUGUGGAUCUUUACUGACUUGGCUCAGGACCAGCACUCCUGUUGUUGGACAGAAAGACAUCAACUCAGUGACUUGAGAUAUGACUGCACUAUGCUGUUGCUGUGACUCCAGUUAAUUCUACAAGACAUGCUGUGACACCAGGAGAGAUGAGUCCUCCGUCACAGAUGGUGUGGUCAGUGAAGAUGGUCGCCUGCAAGUUCAAGCUCAUUGCAUCUCCAACCAUCAACCACUGCCACUGUACUUAAGGGAAGUUAAAGACUUUCUUCUGCACCUACAUUUGGAUCACCUUGAUCCAUGACAGUCAUUCAGGCAGUAAUGCCUGGACUAGAAACAAGCCAUCCUUAAAAUAUUACAACAUUCCAGCUCCUGUGUUGGAAUGGAAAACAAAUGUGUUGUUUAAAUUAGAGACUGCACUUGUGACAGAACAACAAAUAUUUUAUUUUGAUUAUAUAAGUAAUGUAAGUACAAAAAAAACUUGUGGUAGGCCUA